ensembl:antisense A530020G20Rik RIKEN cDNA A530020G20 gene
ACACCCGGGAUUUAGGCCUGCCAAGCAGCCAUACUUACCAAACCAGUCCAAAAGAGAAAGAACAAGACUAGCCAUGGUGUAUCGGUGCAUUUUCUAUAAAUUUGGGGUCGCCAUUCUCUUUGCCUUGUUUUCUCUGCAGAAACCUUCCAGGAAAACGGAGAGUUGAGAAAAGCAAGAGAAACAGUUAGGUGAAAUCAACCGAACCGAAACCUCUCCAAAGGCUGCUAAAGCAAACUCAACUCUGUCACUGGGGAAGAUCAGCUCUCUGCAGGAUGGAUGUGAAACCCCCCCGGGGGCCAAGUUCUUACUGGAGGAGCGGUGUCACUGAGAAAGUGGCUUAUCUCCCAAAGGACAGAGGAGCCGGAAGCGUCCUGUCUGUGCAGGUAGGUGCCCGCAGAGGCCGCUUCUCUCAGGGCUCAGGUUGUCGCCCUUACCAGGUACUCGGCGCCCAAGCACUGCAUGGUACCGGGCAGCUGGGAUUGGCGGCGGCGGUGGUCGCCUUGCACACAGGACAGAGGUGCGGCGACCCGGCCAAGUGGCCCAGGAGGGGCGGGCAGGGCGAGUAGGGCUCAGCGCCUCCUAGCGGUCCAGGGCGCUGGUCCCCUAGACCCGCCCUUUCCGUGGUGGCUUUAGGCUGGGAGGACCUGCUGGGAGCGGGGGUGGCACCUGCGCAGCACCGGUUCCCAGGAAGUGCUCCUGACCACUGUGAGACGCCUGGGCCCGUUGCCAGCGCCUGGAGUUAGAAGUGAGGCCUCAGG